AUGAAAAAAAGCAACAAGGCAUAAAAGAUUUACAAGAUGCCAUAUCGGUCGAUGCCUUAGUUUAAUUAUUUGAUGGCGCACACGAAGAGUAUAAGUUAGUGCGCUUGGGCAGACAGCUAAUAGUUAGGUACAACAAACACCGGCACACUUUCUGUUUGCGGUUCGAGCAUGCACUUUAAAUAGUACUUGUGCUAAAAGUAACAAUAAAAUUGAGUGAAUCAUAAAAAAACGGCAUAUCUAUGUACAUGGAGUGUACAGCAUAUCAAAACCAUGGACACUUUCAAAUGCAUAAUGGAUUUUAUAACAAACGUUGCGGAAGUAAACUGCCAGAGCCGCAAAUAACACUGCAUCUGCAGUAAACUGGCUAAAAUUAAAGGACAAACACUAGGUAUUUUUAAAUCUCGAUUCGUUGGGAGUUAAAUCUUUUAAAACUUAGCGGGAGUGCUCGACUGCAAGUGUAGUGGAGCGUGUCCUUUUCAUUUAUUUUUUACAUAUAAAUAUAUACAUAUAUUAGGAUGCCCUUGUUGGUCCUUCUAUAAUGAAACAGUUAUAUAACGGAUGACCUUCAGGCUUCAGGUAGGCGGUUGAAUAAUAUAAUCGUAUACUUAAUUAACUAUAUAUCUUUAGAGAAACAUUUGUAUUACAUAACCUGCGAUGCACAUAAAAUACAGUAGUACAUUAAUCACAUGAGUAAUACUCGGAGUGGCAAAAGUAAAGCCCAACAUCAAUGGCGAUAAAAUGAUAAUUUACCGCCCAUAGAUAAAAGCGGUGCAUAAAUACAACAUGAAUGCAACAUAAUUAUCAUCUCAGAGAAAGAAAUAUUUAAUAUGUUUAUAUCAGGUGCGUUCGCAUCAUUACCUACUCGAAUAGUACUUAAAUAAUACGUCUGACUAGUGGCUGCUGUAGCUGUUAGUGACAGGGUUUUUGCUUCUCGUGUAUUUAUUAGAACAAUAAUGUACAGAUAUUGUGGGUAGUUUUUGCGUUUUGCAUGGUUUUUGUUUCCGACAAAAUUCAUACCUACAGGCUACAGAACAGAGACCGGCAACAAAACGGACAAGACAAAGGGAACCUCAGCAAAAGCACAGAGACAAGCGUUUAUCGCAGCUGUAUCAAACGCUACCCUAUCUGUGACAGCAGCGCAAAUUGCACCAGCGAAUCUGACCACAUCGAAGCCAUUGUUAUCGGCAACAACGAUGGGUUCCAAACCGAACACGACGGUAAUGAAUGCGUCCAGUGCAAGGCUAUCCAGCAGUACACCGGUGGUCCGCACAAUUGUAAUGCACCAGGAAGCCCGUGUCAUCCAAGCGAAGAACGACACAUGGUGGCCUUCGGAUUCAGUCAGAUACUGCCCAUAUUUCUGUCCCCCAUAUCCGGAACCGGAUUCACUGAGAUUUAAAGAAAAGUAAUGACAUUUAAAAAAGUGAAAAAGACUUUAGAGAUUCGUUUACGAAUACUCUACUCAUAAAUUUAUAUUUUGCUUAAUAAUUGAAGUUUGCGUUUACUCGCUAACUUGUUUUAACGAUGCGAGAGAAACGCCGGGAAGAGCUGCUCUCUCUUUCUGCACAGGAUUUCAAUGAUUAGCCGCCGGACUUUGAGCGAGCCGACGGAUGCUUUCUCCUCCUUCCUGGAAUAUACCACCGGCAUGUCUGCCAGCGAAUCGCCUGCCUUUCCUGUUUGCGUACGGUGUGCAAACUGCCAUUUCACCUACGGACUACCUAACCGUCAGUUCCAUCUCAUGCUAGCCUACUUGCAUUUAUCGAAUUUGUGUUUUUCGGUAUGUGCGAGCUUUUUGCAUGUUAUCCUCAUUUUUUGUGUUGUCAGAAUUGGAUGUUGAUCAUUGAAAGUUGACGUUGGUAAUUUUCCUGUUACCCGCCUUCCCAACCCUUAAGCAAUCAAGUUUUGUUUUUGCUGGCUUCGUCAGUUAUAUGAGCACUGUUGUGUAACUCAUUAAAGGUCAUUCCUCACUCGCGCUGCUCUCUCGCUAUGGUACGCACAGAAC